CGUAAUAUAAGCCGAUUGCUUCUCAUCGUUCUCGUUGUUCAGAAAACGCAGACGUUCGCAGGUUUCAAAUUGAAGAAAAGGGCCUAUAAGAUCUCACAAUGCAUAUGACGGAGCCACUAUUAGUUUUCACCCUUUCGCUCUUAAUUUCUGUUUUUGUAAUAAAACAUACAUUAUACUAUAAAGAAGAUGAAACAUACAUUAAAAAUCCUUGGAACAUUACAUUGAGUGCUGAAUUGCUAGAAAGACAAGAGACUGCUGAACAUUAUAUUAAACUUCUUACCAUAAUUUCUGUAAUAAUAAUGUCUUUCAACAUAUUUGCACUCAUUACUGUAUUUAUGUACUGAGUUGGACUUUGCGAAAUUUGCAAGCGACAACAUCAGGAGGUGAGAAUUACUCUCCCUCGGCGUAAUAAUGAAGACGAUGGUAACGAGAUAUAUUAUAUAGGACUAAUAAGAAAUUUACGGAAUGAGAAUAAUAUACGGACUAAUAACGUAAGAAGAUAAUAAGUCAACAAUAAUGAAAAUAAUACUGAAUAAUUUCCUGGCUUUUUAUUAAUUUUAAAAUGCAUCAUUCGACUUAUUUGUGACACUCCUAAAUUGCAUGGAACGCUAUACUCAUUUUUCUAAAUUCUUAUGUUAAAUUCGAUCUAAACAGUGCAUUUCUUGCAAUAUAGUUUGUCGUAAAUUAUUUGUAAGACAAAAUACAUUUUAACAAUUUUGCGAUAUAAGAAAAAAGAUAAGAAAAACUGCAUGAAUCUAACAUUGAUUACUCAAUGUUAUCAAUUUAAUAUAAAAAUUAAAUUUUUAUAUUUUUAUAUUAUUAGAAUUUAAUACCAGAUUACUAGAUCAGUAUAACAAUUUUAACCACAAUGACCAUAGCUUUUAUAGGCUCCGAGAAAUAUAGUGCCAAAAUUUAUAUUUUUUUAAGUUUUUCCAAUAUGAAACAGAUACAAAGUGACAAAAUAUUAAUUUUGGGAUUAUUUUCUUAUUGCUAUAUUUUCAAAAUAUUUCACCUAGUAAUUGAUAAUAUUAAUUGUAGAAAAGAAAUUUCUUAUAGUACUGUAUUUCUUAUAGUACUGUAUAGAAGAUUGUGAGUAGCUUCCUGAUAACUUAAUUUUAAUCA